UACGAGGGAGCAAGCUUGUCCGGAAUCAUUGGGCGUAAAGCGCGCGUAGGCGCCCCGUAAGUCCCGCUGUGAAAGUCAAAGGCUCAACCUUUGAAAGCCGGUGGAAACUGUGGGGCUAGAGUCCGGGAAGAGGCGAGUGGAAUUCCUGGUGUAGCGGUGGAAUGCGUAGAGAUGGGAGGAACACCCCUGGCGAAGGCGGCCAGCUGGGCCGUCCCUGCGCUAGGCGCGAA
rnacentral:rRNA from 1 species